UGGCGACCGGCGCACGGGUGCGUAACGCGUAUGCAACCUACCUUUAACAGGGGGAUAACACUGAGAAAUUGGUACUAAUACCCCAUAAUAUCAUAGAAGGCAUCUUUUAUGGUUGAAAAUUCCGAUGGUUAGAGAUGGGCAUGCGUUGUAUUAGCUAGUUGGUGGGGUAACGGCUCGCCAAGGCGACGAUACAUAGGGGGACUGAGAGGUUAACCCCCCACACUGGUACUGAGACACGGACCAA
rnacentral:rRNA from 1 species